rnacentral:rRNA from 1 species
UCGGGAAUUUUGGGCAAUGGGCGAAAGCCUGACCCAGCAACGCCGCGUGAGUGACGAAGGCCUUAGGGUUGUAAAGCUCUUUUGGCGGGGACGAUAAUGACGGUACCCGCAGAAUAAGCCCCGGCUAACUUCGUGCCAGCAGCCGCGGUAAUACGAAGGGGGCUAGCGUUGUUCGGAAUUACUGGGCGUAAAGCGCACGUAGGCGGAUUUGUCAGUCAGGGGUGAAAUCCCGAGGCUCAACCUCGGAACUGCCUCCGAUACAGCAAGUCUCGAGUCCGGAAGAGGUGAGUGGAAUUCCUAGUGUAGAGGUGAAAUUCGUAGAUAUUAGGAAGAACACCAGUGGCGAAGGCGGCUCACUGGUCCGGUACUGACGCUGAGGUGCGAAAGCUAGGGGAGCGAACGGGAUUAGAUACCCAGUAGUCCCUGAGCGGGCUGGCAAGGCGC